UACAGAGGUCCCGAGCGUUGUUCGGAUUCACUGGGCGUAAAGGGUGCGUAGGUGGUGAGGUAAGUCGGAUGUGAAAUCUCCGGGCUCAACCCGGAAAUGGCAUUGGAAACUACCUUGCUGGAGGAUUUGAGGGGGAUUGGAAUACUUGGUGUAGCAGUGAAAUGCGUAGAUAUCAAGUGGAACACCAGUGGCGAAGGCGAAGCCCUGGAAAAUACCUGACACUGAGGCACGAAAGCUAGGGGAGCAAACAGG
rnacentral:rRNA from 1 species